GCAGGUUUGGUGUAGUGGCUAUCACGUAUCGUUCACACCGAUAAGGUCGCGAGUUCGAUCCUCGCAAUCUGUA